CCUACGGGGGGCAGCAGUGGGGAAUAUUGCACAAUGGGGGAAACCCUGAUGCAGCGACGCCGCGUGUGGGAAGACGGUCCUCUGGAUUGUAAACCACUGUCCCCAGGGACGAAGAUGACGGUACCUGGGGAGGAAGCUCCGGCUAACUACGUGCCAGCAGCCGCGGUAAUACGUAGGGAGCGAGCGUUGUCCGGAAUUACUGGGGGUAAAGGGUGCGUAGGUGGUUUGGCAAGUUAGUAGCGUAACUUCAAGGCUCAACCUUGGAACUACUACUAAAACUGUUGGACUUGAGUGCAGGAGGGGCAACCGGAAUUCCUAGUGUAGCGGUGGAAUGCGUAGAUAUUAGGAGGAACACCGGUGGCGAAGGCGGGUUGCUAGACUGUAACUGACACUGAGGCACGAAAGCGUGGGGAGCAAACAGGAUUAGAUACCCUAGUAGUC
rnacentral:rRNA from 1 species